UACGAGCUACACAAGCGUUAUUCGGAAUUACUGGGCUUAAAGGGUGCGUAGGCUGCGCGGCAAGUUGGGUGUGAAAUCCCUCGGCUCAACCGAGGAACUGCGCCCAAAACUACCGUGCUCGAGGAAGAUAGAGGUGAGCGGAACUUACGGUGGAGCGGUGAAAUGCGUUGAUAUCGUAAGGAACACCCGUGGCGAAAGCGGCUCACUGGGUCUUUUCUGACGCUGAUGCACGAAAGCUAGGGGAGCAAACGGG
rnacentral:rRNA from 1 species